AGAGGGCAUCUUCUUGUUUUUAAAAGACCUAGCAAUAGGUAUGCUUAGGGAGGAGCUUGCGUCACAUUAGUUAGUUGGUGGGGUAAAGGCCUAACAAGACUAUGAUGUGUAGCCGGGCUGAGAGGUUGAACGGCCACAUUGGGACUGAGACACGGCCCAAACUCCUACGGGAGGCAGCAGUAGGGAAUUUUCGGCAAUGGAGGAAACUCUGACCGAGCAACGCCGCGUGAACGAUGAAGUAUUUCGGUACGUAAAGUUCUUUUAUUAGGGAAGAAUAAAUGAUGGAAAAAUCAUUCUGACGGUACCUAAUGAAUAAGCCCCGGCUAACUAUGUGCCAGCAGCCGCGGUAAUACAUAGGGGGCAAGCGUUAUCCGGAAUUAUUGGGCGUAAAGGGUGCGUAGGCGGUUAAAUAAGUUUAUGGUCUAAGUGCAAUGCUCAACAUUGUGAUGCUAUAAAAACUGUUUAGCUAGAGUAAGAUAGAGGCAAGUGGAAUUCCAUGUGUAGUGGUAAAAUGCGUAAAUAUAUGGAGGAACACCAGUAGCGAAGGCGGCUUGCUGGGUCUUUACUGACGCUGAGGCACGAAAGCGUGGGGAGCAAACAGGAUUAGAUACCCUGGUAGUCCACGCCGUAAACGAUGAGUACUAAACGUUGGGUAAAACCAGUGUUGAAGUUAACACAUUAAGUACUCCGCCUGAGUAGUACGUACGCAAGUAUGAAACUUAAAGGAAUUGACGGGACUCCGCACAAGCGGUGGAUCAUGUUGUUUAAUUCGAAGGUACCCGAAAAACCUCACCAGGUCUUGACAUGCUUCUGCAAAGCUGUAGAAACACAGUGGAGGUUAUCAGUUGCACAGGUGGUGCAUGGUUGUCGUCAGCUCGUGUCGUGAGAUGUUGGGUUAAGUCCCGCAACGAGCGCAACCCUUAUUGUUAGUUACCAGCACGUAAUGGUGGGGACUUUAGCAAGACUGCCAGUGAUAAAUUGGAGGAAGGUGGGGACGACGUCAAAUCAUCAUGCCCCUUAUGACCUGGGCUACAAACGUGAUACAAUGGCUGUUACAAAGGGUAGCUGAAGCGCAAGUUUUUGGCAAAUCUCAAAAAAACAGUCUCAGUUCGGAUUGAAGUCUGCAACUCGACUUCAUGAAGUUGGAAUCGCUAGUAAUCGCGAAUCAGCAUGUCGCGGUGAAUACGUUCUCGGGGUUUGUACACACCGCCCGUCAAACCACGAAAGUUGGCAAUACCCAAAGCCGGUGGCCUAACUUCGCAAGAAGAGGGAACCGUCUAAGGUAGGGUCGAUGAUUGGGGUUAAGUCGUAACAAGGUAUCCCUACCGGAAGGUGGGGAUGGAUCACCUCCUUU
rnacentral:rRNA from 2 species